rnacentral:rRNA from 1 species
GCAGAAGCUGGGCAGGGAGCGGCGGUAAUGCUGAGGGUGCGAGCGGUAUUGGGUAGUACUGGGCGUAAAGCGCGCGUAGGUGGUUUGUUAAGAUGGAUGUGAAAGCCCCGGGCUCAACCUGGGAACUGCAUCCAAAACUGGCAAGCUAGAGUACGGUAGAGGGUGGUGGAAUUCCAGGUGUAGCGGUGAAAUGCGUAGAGAUCUGGAGGAAUACCGGUGGCGAAGGCGGCCCCCUGGACAAAGACUGACGCUCAUGCACGAAAGCGUGGGGAGCAAACAGGAUUAGAUACCCGGGUAGUC